AAGUACCCUAGUCGGUUCGACCACGACGAGUUGAAGAAGCGCGCGCAAGCGUACAAGCAGCAGCCAGCGGUCAAGAUGUCGGUGACGGUGAAGGCUUACCUUCUGGGGAAAGAGGAGUCGGUUCGGGAGAUUCGUCGCUUCCUGGUGCCGCGUUCUGAGGUCCAAAACUUCGAACAUCUGUGCGACAAAACUUGUCAGAUGUUCUCCGGACUUAAGAAGGGUGCUUUCAACAUGUACUAUAAAGACUGCGAAGAAGACCUGGUGGCCUUCUCCUCGGAUGACGAGCUCUCCAUGGGCAUGGCCUGCUUGAAGGAUGACGUCUUCAGGGUUUUCAUCAAAGAGAAGAAGGAGCACCGCCGUGACUUUCCAGUUCACGCCUUUCCACCGGGCGCCUUUGUGGCGGCGGCGGGCCCGCCCCCUCCACCACCUCACGUGGGGGCUGUGCACGCCGUGACGUGCGACGGCUGCGAGGGGCCGGUGGCGGGCGUCCGCUUCAAGUGCAGCGUGUGUCCCGACUACGACCUUUGCUCGGCUUGUCAGGUGCAAGGGAAGCACACCGAGCACCCCCUGCUGCCCAUCUGGCACCCCCUGCAGGCACUGUUACCACGAGGAAAGCUGGUGAAGAAGAUGCGCCACUGCAGCAAGAACCAGAAGUGUGCUAGAGGUGGCGCCCCCGCUGCAGGCCUCAGCUUCCUGAAGAAUGUGGGAGAGGAAGUGGCGGCCAUGCUGAGCCCGCUUGGUGAGCCACGCAUCGAUGUGGACAUCGACGUGGAGCACCAGGGCCAGAGGACCAAAGUGAGCAAUCAGGAUCAAGGGGACGUGGAGGUUGGCGGAGCUGAGGGCGACGCUCGGCCCAGAAAGGUCAGGCGCGCCAACAGGCUUCAGCCGACACCACCAAAGAGUUUGACGAAGAGUGGACUCAUGUCACGUGCAAGGAAGUGGACCCUUCCAGUGGAGAACUGCAGUCCUUGCUGCAGAACGACAAACUGGACCACGACGAGAAACCGAAUGGGGACCAGAACCCAAAGGGGGACCAGAAUGUCAAGGGGAACCAGAAGCUGAAUGUUCCUGUAGUGGUCCAGAAGGAUCCGUCAGGCUUGAAGGUGGCGGCUCUGUACCCUCACCUUCCUCCAGAGGCAGAUCCCCGCUUGGUGGAGUCUCUGAGUCACAUGUUGUCCAUGGGGUUCACCGACGAGGGCGGCUGGCUGACCCGCCUCCUGCAGGCUAAAGAUUUUGACAUCGGUGCCGCCCUGGACGCCAUCCAGUACGCCAAGAAGCCCCGCCCUCCCCCGCACUGAUUCCAGCAAUAGGCGUCCUAGCACACGCUUCUUAGCUUCUGCGACAUCAGAUUAAAAGCAGUAAUCAGUACUACUCUAUUCACUAAAGUCUGUAAUCAAAUGAAUUGAUUGAUACUCAAUAAAAACGCUUUGCUCAG